CUGAGCGAUGGAUGGCUGGGACCUCAGCCAUGGCCAUGGCCGCUUUUUGCUGUUUGUUGGCAUGAGUUCACGUUCUCAUCCACAAGGAAUCAGACUCCAGGAUCAAACGCUUGUCUAUGGUUGGCAUCACUCCAACAGACGUGCAGGGGAGUUCCACUUGUGCAGAGACAGAUUUGUCCCUGGGUUCCUCCAGAGAGAGUUGCACAACAUGCUCUGGAAACCAUGAGCGAAGAGUAUUCUUGUUGGAGUGAAUUGCAUAUGCUAGAUUUAAUUUAUUCAAAUCAGAAACAUAUUCAACCAUUUCCAACUAUAUGCUGCUUACAAAAUCUCAGUACAGCAUCUCCAGAAAGUCAUGAGCCAACUGCUGUGCAUGACCCGCUUUGGGAUUCAGGCUGCAACAGGAAACUCAGCUUGGAACAAGAAUUCUCUUUUAAAUGAACUUUUGAAACUGGAUCUACAUUGUGAAAUAUUUGGAUAUUGAGCAAUGGAAGAAUUUGGAACAUAAACACAAGCGACUGCUGCUUAUGAGCACAGCAAGCUGCAGCAAGCCGGCUGGGUGCUGCUGUCAGCCAUCCCCAUGGCACAGGGCACAUAGGAGACUGGUGGGAAAGAAAGGCUCAUUGAGAGCACUUCUUAAGCAAGGGUAUUUUUACUCAGAGCAUGAUGAGGCACUGGCACAGGUUGCACAGAGAAGCUGUGGGUGUUCCAUCCCUGGAGACACUCAAGGCCAGGUUGGAUGGGGCCCAUGGGCAGCCUGUUGGGUGGCACUGCCCAUGGCAAGGGGUUGGAACUGGUGGGCUUUAAGAUCCCUUCCAACCUAAUCCAUUCUGUGAUUCUAUGAUUAAAUUUCACCCUCAGCAAGUUUGUGGAUGACACCACGCUGAGUGGUGUGGCCAACACACCUGAGGGAUAGGAUGCCUGUAUGGGAACUGCUGAGUCACAACCUGCACUACUGACUGAGCAACUGGAGAAAAGACCCAGUCAGCCCUGGAAGCACAGGUGAAGGUAAUUCACCUGUGUGACCAAAAAAAGUGGACCCUGGCUUUACCCUUCUUAGACCUCAUUUUAAGGGCUGACUGCCACUGAAGAAGGAUCUCUUGUUGGAGAUCUCUCCUUUGUGGAGUCUUCCUGCAAUCCUUGAUCUUUGGAUACAGCUAGAACAAGUUGGCACCAAUAUUUUGGCUAUUGCUGAGCAGUUCUGCCGCAGCACCAAGGCUGACUCUCCAACUCCCAGCCCUAACAAAGGCAAGCACUGAAUCAGCUGCGGGAGCACAGAUGAAGACAAUUCUCCUGUGUGACUGGAAGUGGGUGGACCCUGGUUUCACAUCUCCUAGACCCCAUUGAAGGGCUGACUGCCUCCGAGGAAGGAUCUCUUUCUGGAGAUUGCUCCUUGUGGAGUUCCUCACAAGCCUACAACACUGGUUAUAAGUUCACAGGACAGCUGGCAGGAGCAACAUCACUCCAGGUUGCUUCAGUGUCCAUGAGGAAACAUCAUGACACCCUGUUGUGCACAGCUGAACUUUUGGGAACUGGCGAGUGUGUAUCAGAACUGCUACUGGUCCUUGAAGAAGAUAUGCCUCAAGAAAGAACAUCAAGUGCUGGCCCAACAGAACCGCAGAAAAGACUGCCAAUAAUUGCCUUUAUUGUCUUAACAUUCUACACUGCGGUGGGUAUUGUACAUGUGUCACAAUGUACAUGGAAAUUGGAAAAUACAAGCCACGAAACUGCAGGAGCUCACCCCCUACCUGCUCAGUCAUUGGUUCAUACUGUGAAGGGGUGGAGUGUAGUGGAAUUUCAAGGUCACAGCCUGAACCAAUACAUGAGCAUGUGACUGCCUGGAGUGGGGGAGGACGGGCUAGCGCUACAUUUUUUGUCUCAGUGAUGCUUCUGGGAGCAUGUGUGCAAUCUGAGCCUGCGUGGGUUCCCCUUCCCCCACCCUUCUCUCUUGUGGCUCGAGUAUGAAUGGGAGAAAGCUGCAUUCCUCAGCUUGCCCCUUUCUCCAGACUGUUACUGGGAGGGGCGUCAUGGUUUUAUGAUUCUUGUUUAUUGGUAUUCCACAUCAUAACAUCAUGUAGUGCACUGGGAGUUAAAGAGUUAAUGCUCCAGUUCUGGGCACCUGUCUGCUAGAGAAGAGCUACAUUGCUGAAGAGCAGAUUGCUGUGGAGACCAGCUUCAGGGCAGGUAAGACUGCACUGGGUAAGGGACCUAAAGCAAAAAGGCCAACCAAAAAGCUCUUUUUAGGGCUUUUUUGAAGCCAGCAAAAGCACUGUGCUGGUGCCAGGGGGCUGGCAGCUUGUGGGCAGGCUGUUGAGCCAGCAGGGGUCGAGCUGGCACUGCCCACUCUUGAGCUUGACCCUUUGCUGUGAGGCUAAAAGCAGCCCACAUAAUGUGCCAGGUGAGAAAAGGGUGUUACUAUCUACUGACAACAGGGAGGGAAGUCAGAGUGUGAGCACAGCCUACACUGCCCAUACAAUACUGCAGCAGCAGGUGUGGGUGGUGGGUCUUGAGGCAGGACACGUGAGUGCUUUUGUCUUUGCUCAGGAGACCAGCUCUCCUACUGGCAGACCCUGAGACCCCCAGGUUCAAACAUGGUCUCUACCAGACAGUGGACUUGCCCCAAGAAGACUGCCGACCCAGACAGAGGGCCUGCCCAGAAAUGUGGCUGUGCAGGUCUCUGCCUACAGGGAGUGUCUGAGCCUGCUGCUGCCAGGGGAGGAUAAGAAGGAUGCCACCUGUGUGAGGUGCAAGCAGGUAGAUGAGCUGCUCAGCCUGGUGGUAGAGCUCAGGGAGGAGGUGGAGAGAUUAAGAACUAUCAGAGAGUGCGAGCGGGAGAUUGACUGGUGGAGUGACUCUCUGAGAGAAAGAUGCAGAGAUUGCACUCCCCCAAACCAUAGUGGACCCUCUCCCUUGCUGCAGUCAAGCACAGAGAGCCGACUCGAGAGGAGGAAUGGCAGCAGGUACCAGCUCGGAGACGCAGGUGACCCCCACCCCAACCUACCUCGGUUCCCCAGGUGUCUCUACAUAAUAGGUUUGAUGCCCUGAAACUGGAGGGAGAGGUGAGUGAGGAUAAGGGGGGAAGACUGCCUCCAAGUGUGACUAAGGUGAGGAGGUCAGCUCCAUGCUCAAAGACUGCCUCCUCCAAAAAAGAAAGGAGGGUGAUAGUUGUAGGUGACUCCCUCCUGAGAGGAACAGAGGGUCCAAUAUGUUGGCCUGACCCUACCUGUAGGAAGGUGUGCUGCCUCCCUGGGGCCCGGGUCAGGGAUAUUUCUAGAAAACUUCCUGGUCUGAUCCACCCCUCUGAUUACUAUCCAUUAUUGGUAGUUCAGGCUGGCAGUGAUGAAGUUGCUGACAGAAGCCUGAGGGCUAUAAAAAAUGAUUUUAGGGGACUGGGGAGGUUAGUUGACAAUGCAGGCAUACAAGUAGUAUUUGCAGGUAUUCCUACAGUGGCAGGGAAAGACAAUGCAAUGACCAGGAAAACCCAUCGCAUAAACACAUGGCUGAGAGGUUGGUGCAAACUCAAGAAUCUUGGGUUCCUUGAUCAUGGGGUGGUCUACUCGGCACCUGGCCUGAGGUCUGCAGAUGGGUAUCACCUGUCUCAAAGGGGGAAACAGAUCCUUGCCCAGGAGCUGGCAGGACUUGUAGAGAGGUCUUUAAACUAGACAUGAGGGGGGAAGGGGAUAAAACCAGGCCUGCUAGAUAUGAGCCUGGGGGAGGGGUCUGGAGCACAGGCCUUAUGAGGAGUGGCUGGAGGAGCUGAGAUUGUUCAGUGUAGAGAAGAGGAGGCUCAGGGGAGACCUUUUUGCUCUCUCUGAAGGGAGGUUGUAGUGAGCUGGGGGUCAGCCUCUUCUCUCGUGUGACUAGUGAUAGGACUAGAGGGAAUGGCUUCAAGCUGCACCACAGAAGGUUCAGGCUGGACGUUAGGAUAUACUACUUCUCUGAAAGAGUGGUCAGGCACUGGAAUGGGCUGCCCUGGGAGGUGGUGGAGUCACCAACCCUGGAGGUGUUCAAGGAACGUUUGGACACUGUGUUGGGGGACAUGGUUUAAUGAGAACUAUUGGUGAUGGGUGGAUGGUUGGACUGGGUGAUACUGUGAGUCUUUUCCAACCUUGGUAAUUCUAUGAUUCUAAGUUAAGCCUUUGGCAAUGCAUGCUUUUCGAGCUAUAUCAGAGGCUGGAAAACAAAGGCAGUCUUUUGUUAGCAUUAAACAACAGCCCCAAGAACCGUAUAUGACAUUUCUGGAUAGGCUUAAGAACUCAUUGGAAAAACAGGUCUGAGAUGUGUACCAGCAUGAUGGGUCUAGCCCUCCGUCUCAUCACCUGCUGUAACAUGAUCACCAAGCUUUCAUCUGCAGUUUGGAUUCUUGACAAAAGACAGGACAAGACACACUUUGCUUGUCAACUCUGUCACCAGCGAACCAUAAGAAUUGGAAUUGUUUGGAUUGGUUAAAAUGGACUAUUGUUUGUACUUAACUAUAGUGGAAAGAACCAAUCGUUCGUUCAGUAUGUUAACUUUAGUAUAGCUGCUUAUAGGAAUGUUUCUGAACCGUGCCUUUUUUUACGGCAGCAGCUACUUGCGCCAGAUAUAAACACACAUGAGGCACCUAGAUCCUUCAUGUGACUGAGGGGUUGUUGCAUGAGUAUAAAAGGCACCUACAGUAAUAAUUUGAUACAAUAAUCCUUCCGGUAUUUAAAAUAAAAAUUUAUAAAAAUAAAAAUUUAAAAUAGCCUUCCGGUAUUUAAAAGGGAAUUAUAAAAAGGAGGGGAGUCAACUUUCUACAAGGUUAGACGGUGAUAGGACAAGGGAAAAUGCUUUUAAGCUCAAGAAGGGAAGGUUUAGAUUGGAUGUCAGAGGGAAGUUCUUUACAAAGAGAGUGGUGAGGUGCUGGAACAGGUUGUGCAGAGAGGCUGUGGAUGCUCUGUCCGUGGAGGUGUUUCAGACCAGGUAGGAUGGAGCUCUGGGCAACCUGUUCUGGUACCAGAUAUGGAGGUUGGUAGCCCUGCCUGUGGCAGGGGAGUUGGAAGUUGAUGAUCCUCGAGAUCCCUUCCAACCCAAGCCAUUCUAUGAUUCUGUGAUCACAGUACACAGUGGGGUUCUUGAUCAAGGAUGUCUGCAGGGGAGGGAGCACAUAGGCCCUCCAAUAGCCAGCAGCUAUCAGGGAGUGGCUGAAGAGGCAUAGGCAGGGCCAGGAGAAAUGGUGGCCAUUCCCCACACAUAGAGGCAGCACUGGGAAGUGCUGUGGCCAGGACAGGGCAUGCAGGAAGGGCAUCUCUCUGAAGAAGGCCAUUCCACUGGCUGAGCAGGGAAGUUCAAAGUGCACAUAACCCAGUAACUCAUUCUACCUGACCCUUAAGACAGAAUGGCAGGCAUGCAUCCGAGAACAAAGGUUGCAGCUCCAGCUGAGUGGUCUGCCCCAUAUCUCCCAGGGCUGGCUGAUGCCUCCACUCAGAUGAAGCUGCAGGAGAGGCUGCAGUGCAUACAGUGUCCUGUCUCAAGACAGAUGGCAAUGGCCCUAAACUGAAGCUCUUCCCUACUUUCAGUGCACAGCUCCAGUGAAUGCAAGGCUGAGGGGGUAUUUCAGACAUCUCUGGCUGACAGAGUGUGACCUGUGCAGUAAUGAGGCAACUUUGGAGCCCCCUACUCCUCCAUACUGUGAGCACAUUUCACAAACGAGGCUUUCAGGGCAGAUCAUAGAAUCAAAGAAGGUCCUGAGCUGGAAGGACCCAGUGUCUUGGUGCUGGCUGGGAUGGAGUUAACUUUCUUUCUAGUAUCUGGUCUGGUGCUGUUUCAAGAUUUAUGAGGAAAAUGAUAACACACUGCUGCUUUAGUUGUUGCAGAGCAGUGCUUACAGAGCCAAGGACAUUUAGGCUUCUGGUGCUGCCCUGCCAGAAAGGGGCUGGGGGGGCACGUAGGGCAGAACCAGGACAGCUUAUCUAAACUGGCCAAAGGGUACACUGCUGCUUGAAGACUGGCUGGGCAUCUGUCAGCGGGUGGCAAGCAACUCCAUUGUGCGCCACUUAAUUAUUAUCCCCAUCCUUUUCUGUCCUAUUCAAUUGUCUUUAUCUCCACCCAUUAGAUUUUUUUUUUUUCCUGAUUCUCUCCCCUUCCUAUCUGGGAAGGAAAGGAAGGGGCAAGGGGAUAGAACAAAGGGCUGUAUGGUGCUGAGAUGCCUUCUGGGUCAAACUGUAACACAGAAGGAUUGUUGACACCAACUUCUGACUCCGUGUAGGGCAAUUUAACAGUUAAACCGCAUAUCUGAAAGUGCUGUCCAAACACUUCUCUAACACCAGCUGUCUUGGUGCCAUGACCACUGCUCUGGGGAGCCUGUCCCAGUGCUUGAUCACCCUCUCAGUGAACUGAUGUCCAAUCUGAACAUCAGCUUUCCUGACGGACUUCUCCAGUCAGUUCUUCCACGUUGCCCCCUCCCCCCGUUCCCCACCCUCCAGCUUCCUUCUGCACUCCCAAAUGUGUUAACUUUUAUCGGUUCACUCAGUUCAGCAGCUAAGAAUCAGUUCACUUCAGAUAGUGGAGUGGAUUUCCAUGAGUUAGGGUCACCCCUGACCCUGUGUCCUACAGAGCCAUAACUCCUUGAUUAUUUUGCCAGCUCCAGUGUGUCACAAGCAGAGGGGAGCACGCAGGCACCAUUCCCCCCUGCCUGCCCCCGCUGAGCCAUGUGGGAGAGUGGCCACCCCCUCCCCAGUCUGGCUUGCAGAGGGUAUGGGAGUGAGGGUAAGGCACUGCAGCCACACUUAUUCCCUGUCUCCUCUCCACGUUCCUCGCUCCCACACCCCCUGAGACCUCCAUUACACCAGUGCCUGAGUGCCUCCGCCACUCCGUUCACUGGCCACCCUCCCCUCACCACAAGUCCAUAAUUCAGCUCAGGUGAGGUGCUCAGACAACACUUCUCUUUCCCAGGCCUCCACAGAAGCCACCUUGACUCAACACCUUCUGGCGGCCCCAGCGCUGUGUGCAGGCUCUGCUAAGCACCCCCUCACCCACUCUGUCAUUUCUCCAGAAAGGCAUUCACAGCGGGGCCUUACACCACACCAUUUACAGUCCUAGGAGCAAGGCAGUGAAGUAUCACUUAGAGUACUACUUAUUAGAGCUAACAGCAUAAAGAAGGAGAAUAGUAUUGUUCAUCUUACGUCCCUUUGGAUGCUAGGAGCCCCGAGUUGUGCAGCGUUGAGUAGGCCUCCCAUCCACGUAUAGCAUGCUGUGCAGACAUGUCCGCAGGAAGAGUUUCCCAAUUCUGCUCAUUUGAGCUCUUAUAGAAUUUCUUACAAGUAAACAGCUCUAUUCUUUAUUUCUUCUGCCCAACAGAGCAGAUGUUCUCAUGAGAACUCCCGGCACUUUCAGAUAAAGGCAAGGCCACGCAGGUGGUGUGAUUGCCAGUUCUGAGUGGGAGCUGCUUGCAGGCUUCUGUUACCACCUCCUGUCUGAGUUUAUCCCACAGCAUGGCACAGACCCGCUCAGGUUCACUGUUAUGUGGAUCACUGAUGUUUAUAUACAGUGGUCUUUUGGUCGGGAUCACUGCAGGAGCCCAUCAUGCAGCUGGAGAUAUCCAUCAGUCUGGGUGCAUUUUGAAAGAGCCUCACACUAAGAGCAGUUUUUUUCUCUAGAAGCAGGAUUCAGGAUAUUAGUAAGAAAUGUGUUGCUCAUUCUGAUAAGGUAACAGCCUGCUAUAAUGAGUUUCUAUACUGACUUUUUGACAGUAUGGAUGGAUGGAUCUAUCAGAAUUUUAUUAUUUAAGGUAAAGGGAUUGCACAGGGACAGACUGAAUAAAAACCAGCCAGUAGAUUUUAAUAUUCAAAAUGUUAGUUGGAGCUUAGCUGGAAAUUGAUCGAUACCUGUCGUGAAAAAGUCUUGGCUUACCAGGUUGCAUCCAGCUUCAAAAUGAAAGAAUCAUUGAGAUUUAUUGGUCAUACACAGUGUCUUCUCCCAGAGGUUCUUAGUUGAAAGACAUUAUUUGAUAACGCAAUUUCUAUAGUCUGACUACCACUACUAAAUUCUAUUUUAAAUUCCAGAAUGAUACUGAAGUUUAUUGAAAUUCUCCAGUGGCUACGUGAUGAUCAUCUUCAUUUCUCAACAACAACUCCUCGGUCUCUAAUUUUCUCCUCCAUGGAUAUUCUUCAUUUUAGAGGUCUUGCCAUUUCACUAGUUGCCAAGUCAAAGUUAAUUUCUCUAAUGAACGGAGCCACAGCAAACUGUUGCUUGUGUAGCAUUUGAACUAAUCAGAAGUUCCACACACAAAUUCAGGGGCUGACUCUCAAGGUCUCUCUGGUGAAGAGACCUCUCUUAGCACUGCUUUUAUGUCCUUCACCUCCUCCUGUCCCACAGGACCUGAAGGUGCUAACACUGACUUAUUCAAAGCUCUUCUGCAAACACAAGAAGGCUGCUGUCUUUAUACCAUGAGAGAAAUGUACUUUUCAGGGGAAGUACCAUGAAUCAUGGUUAUUCCAUACAGCAACAUUCAAAGCUAUUGCUUUCAGAGGACAGUGAACACAUCCUCUUACUUCAUAAGCAUUGUGCUCGAUGAAAGAUCUUUCUGACUGUUCUGCUACCCUUGAAACAAACAGGACAGGAAUUGUCAUUCCCCUUGUCAGAAGGACCAUCUGCCACUACAUUAGGACAGUCUUCUAUUAAAUUCACCAGCACUCUAAUUAUAGGAUGACUAGCAAAUGGUUAAACUGCCAGAUGCUAUGAAGAUAUAUCACUGUCUCUUUAGGUGGUUAGGCAAACGUUUAAUUAGACCUACAGCUGCUGUGUCUGCUUUACCUACUAACUUAUCCAAAUUGCAUUCACCUGUGGGAAAGAUGGAGCUGCUGUCCUCUGAGAAGAAAAGCAUCUUAAGCCAAACUUUACUGAAACAUACAGCAUGUAGACAUGUGAGCUUCCACCUUGAAAAAAUAAGCAGUAUUGGGCUCAGGGUGUUUAACAGUCUGUGAAGCUGUUUAUUCACAGAAACACCAAAGGGCAGAACCCUGCAGUUUUCCCAUUUGGUACAUGGCCUUGGCUGAAACCUGCAGAGAAGGAUUUUAAAAAAGCAUAUAAAUCCUUAUUUUGGAAAGUGUACUUGGCUCUGCUUAAUACUGCAAGAUCUAAAGGUCAUAUCCAGAAAAAUAGGACUUUGGGAUCUAGCUAAAGUCUAUCCUCCAUUCAGUCUCAUUACUUUUAGCCUUCUAUUUUAAGGGUUUAGGAACCAGGUUUCAGAAGGGUACUUUAUUUCCAUCUAGUGCUGCAACUGAUAUUUGCCAUCCCAAGGUACAGGCACUGUGGUGACCAAAGAUGCAAGUGGGCAACAAGCUUAGAUUCAGCCUUAAAGCUUGAGGCCCUUGUCAGGAGCUUUGUUGGGUAGCAGCAUCCUCUGUGGGGCAUGGCCUGUUGCUCUCCAUUGAUUGCAGAAAGCACUGUGUGAAACUACCUGAAUUGUACUGAUGGCAAAGAGAACUCAGCGUGGUUUUAACCCAUAUCUACCCUGACCAUGCUUUAACCCAGACAAUUCAUGAGCACAGCAUUAAUUACAGGCCAAAGAGCAGUGCCAGCAGGCAGACAAUCUGGCCGUGUGCUUUCAUGGAUAAGACUAUGUUAUAAUAUGUGUAUGCUGCUGUGUGCCACUUGGCUGUUGUGCCAGAACACUAGCAAGUGGAGAAAGAAAUAAAAUUCUUGGUGCUAUUCAGGAGAUCCCAGGGAACUGGGCUUUAGGGAGACCAAGGAGGAGUCUGUAGCUUCUACAGAGAAAGUCCUAGUUACAGUAAUUUCACUGUGUUUUAAGCCUGCCUUAUUUAUAGUUUCUUCCUCUGCUAGCGCCAGUUUUCCUGAUCUGUCUCUUUAGGCAUAUACAGCCUUCCCUCUUGGGCACAGAUAUUGACACUGAGAUUCAUAUGAUGGUUAGCUCAGAUCUGGAUGCUUGUAGCAUGUCUCAAGCAGAGAAUAAGCUGAAAUCCAGGCAGAAUAUUUGGGAGUAUACAAUAUUGGUGUCUCAGGAACUGUGUUCAGCGCCUAGGAGUCUGCUUGAAGUUCAUGGUAAUUUGCCUGGGAAAACAGACAGAAUACAUCUGUAGUUUUAUCUUACAGUUUUACUUAAUCUCAGCGGUCGUUAAUCGGGAUGAAGCGUGUUCUUUCUUCCCACACUCUCAGUAUCUGUGUGCACAGUAACUUUCUCUGUGGUCUGGGCCUUAUACACCAAGAAAUAUUUUCUCUUACAAAGCUCUGGGACCUAGAAACUUGGAAAAGCAUAAGGAGAGCUUGCAAAGGAAUGGCUCUGCAAAUUGCUCAGUGAGAUGGCUCUGGAAAUUGUUCUUCUUUUCCAUUUGCAGACAUAAAAUUUGCUGACUUUCCAAGCAGACAGCAAAAGACAUUUAUGUGAGAGGCUUUUCAGAGGUGAUAGAAACAUACUUGCCAGGUGUCAGCAGGGGUAGAUAGCUGAGUGAACUGCUGAGUGAACUGCUGAGUUUUAAUUCAGUUGUAUUUUUGCAUAAUUUAUUAUGGCAGCCCCCUAGAGCCUUCGGAACCUAUCUUGAUUAUUUUAUGUUUAAAUAAAUAAAUAAAUGAUGGGUUAUUGAAGGAACUGGCACUCAAUUUCAAGAGAUGAACCUGAGGCACAUCAAAGGCAGGCUCUGAGUGCCAAAAUCAACUGCAGUUUUACGGCUAUGCUAAGCCAUGCAAUUAUCUUAAACCACGAAGAUCUUGUUGGAUUUGCAGGGGGAAAUUUAGCAUCAAUCUCUGUACAGAGAACAAACAAACCAAAUCAGCGCUGCGUUUUCAUAUUAACACCGCACGAGGCUGCCAGAAGUGAAAUACUGUCUGUGUUCAGAAGUGCCACUGGUUGUCUCACAGCUAAAUAAAACUGUAUACGUGUUCUGAGGAGCUUGUGUCUGUACAGAGCAUAAUGAUCUGUAGAGAUCAUGACCAGCAAGGUAGCUGAGCAGGCGCUUUGGCUGUUGAAAAUGGUGCUGGUUAAGUCAGCAUUUUACCUUGUUCGGAUAUGCAGCCAAUCCUCCCUUCAUUCACUGUUGAACACGUUUUUUCAGACCUUUCACCUAUCCCUUGGGAAAAGAGACUACAGGAACUAACCUUGAGACAGAUAAGGCAGGAGGAUGAUGGAGAACUACUCCCAGGGCGGGAAAACAGGAAGCAAUGACAGCAACAGCAAAGAAGGUUGCAAAUGUACUUAGAAAAAAGAAAACCAAGUUGUAACAUUUGUUUUAAACCCAUGGAAGAGAGAGUAAGCAGCAAUGCAACAGGAUUAAUGAUGUCAAUAAAUAAAUAAUGGUAUUUUCGUUGCGUAUCACUCAUUGAUCACUGUCAGCAAGAGCACAGCUUCUCCAGUUUCCUCCCCUCUUAGCUGGGCUGGGAUCCAGUGGGAGAACAGAGUUGGGACAGCUUUCAUUUGAAAGACAAUUUAUUUAUUAGCCAGGCAGAAAAUCCUAUUAAAAAGAGAGGGAUUUUCAUGAUUGAGCUGCAGUAUUCAUUUUCAAGUAUUCUGCCAAAAAAAAUUAGGCUGUUUUGCAUAAGAUGAAACCAUAGUUUUGGACGGGACCUUGAGCAGGAGGUGAGGAAUGUGCUGUGUUCCCUGUGAGACAUCCCAGGAGUUACUUUGACUUGAGAGACAGAAGAUUCCUUCCCUGCCAAGUUUUUUGGGCUUUUUUUCCCCCUUUUUUUCUGGAUUAAACUAACAGUGUCUGAUGGGAAUGUCUGCUUCCUGGCAGGGCCUGAGCGUGUGCAGUGCUAGAUGUAAUUUGUGUCACUCCCUUUCUACCCAUCUGGUGAGACUGUUUUGGCUAUAAUAAGGUGAUGAGCCUUGGUUUGCCUGUACUGCUAACCACGUGAGGUGGGAGUGAGCCUGAGGACUGGACCCUAACUUGUUUCUGCUGAAAGUUUUGUUUGCUUGCUGGCUGGCUGGCUGCUCCACUAAGUGCUUUUCAAGACAAAGCUCACGCAUGCUGCUGAGGGAGAGGUUUUUUUUCCAGCAACUGCUCCCAAGAGGCACCAUGGGUAAGCUCAACCCUACCCCAGAAAGCUCUGACCCCUCCUGUAUGGGCAGAUGGCCUCGUGCCACACACAGGUGUGAAUAAAACACCCCCUCAUGGGUUCACAUUGCUUGGAGCUUCAGAGCGAGCCUUGGGGUAUGUCAGGCAUGUGGUAGGUGAGAGGGCUGGCCUGGAAAUUCAUACCAUAGAAGUGUUUCCUGUGUUGCAACUGAAACUGAAGCAAAGGUCAGUUUUGCAGUGUGAACACACAGAACUUUUUCACGUCAGAAUCUCUACAAAUGUGUAUGGACACAAUGGGCUGGCCUUUCCCUUUCUGAAGUACCUUCUUUUGCACCAGGCAUGCUGUUGGUUACCACAUUGCAGCUGUGGGAUGGCAAAUUCCUGCCAGAGGGGAACUAUCUUCUGCAUAUUACUUCAUUCAGUCACAAAGCACUCAUAUGACCAUCUCACAGGACAUUUUAGCUGGAACAAACCCAGCAGGAACUGUCAUGUGGAGUUGAUUAGGUUUCAACUCUGCAGUGCCAUGGCCUUUCAGCUGAUGGGAAACUGCCCAGAAAGUCUUUCUUGGGAAUUGAUUUUCUUCUUUAAUGUUGCUAACAGCAUAUGUUGAUAAUAAAGAUUAUCCCAGAUAUCUCUAAACAAAAAUGGCAUCCCCCCACUGUGGUUCACUUGUGAAAAAGCCUGGUCCAAAUGCCUUUCCAGAUCCAAGGACUGAGAGAGAAAUACAACAUGCAAAAUAAUUAUUGUAAUCCAUCAAUUUUGCAGAAACAAAGCAGAACAACAAACAAUUAUGAUAGCAAAUUGAAUCAUAAAAUGGCAAUAUGCCAAGCUCUAUAUCAGCUGGGUCUUUUCACUUGUCUGUUGGCAAAAUAAAGAGGAUUAGGGGGAUGACUCAUCUGGUGAUUGGAAAAUCUACUUCGAAGUUGCAAAGGAAAUUCAAGCCCCAACAGUUCAUAAGCAGUAAUUCACUGCACAUAAACUUCUGCUCACUUAAAGCUCCCAUCCCCAGCUUGUAAACUGUGAACACUGUGGGGCAGCAGAACCAGCCCAGCUCUGGUGCUAGCCCUGCAGCUCUGGGUUGUUCCUGCUUGUAAUUGCUGCAGUCCCUGUGAGUGGGGUCAUGUCAACAACAACAGAAACGUGGUGUGUUUGCACAGGGGAAGUCCUAUUGCUGCUGUAGCUCUCUGUGACUAUUUUAUUACUGACUGCGGUGCAGUCAGAAUUUUAAUCUUUCCCAUCAGUUUUGUCUCGUAUGUCAGUUCUGGAUUCCUCCUAUACUGAGGCUGGAUUCUUGAAUGGGGAAAGCCAGCAGUGCCAGGGAGCUCCCAGCAAAGUGCUCAUCCACUUCUUACCUCCACCCUAGCCUCCUUCAGCCCAAAGCUGCUGCUACAGUGUCACCAGGCACUUGGAAUCAUUGAAUCACUAGUGUUGGAAAAGGCCUCCAAGAUCAUCCAGUCCAGCCAUCCACCUACCACCAAUAUUUCCCCUUAGUACAACAUCUAAAUGUGUCUUGAGUCCCUCCAGGGACGGUGACUCCACCAUCUCCCUGGGCAGCCCAUGCCAGCACCUGACCACCCUUUCAGAGAAUAAAUUUUUCUUAACAUCCAAUGUGAAUCUCCCCUGGUGCAACUUGAGGCCAUUCCCUCUAGCCCUAAUUUCCUCUAAUCUUCAGAAGAACUGGAGCCGUGCUCCUCUCAGCAGUCUGGUGAAGAUGUAGAUAACAGGUUUGCGUACGUGCUACGUGGUUAUGCCUCCACUGUGCAUAAUUGCACCGUGUUGAUGUUUGGCAAGUGCCAUCUGGUUUUCAUUUUCCUUCACAGCAUAAUUCAUCACCUCCACCCCCACAGAUUUACAGUGCAACUGUAUUUCUCCUUUCAAGACAAUUUCAGCUACACAGAGUGUGUUUUGAUUUAUUUUAACUGAACCCAACAGACACUAAUAUCAAAUCAUUCCCCUUCAAAUUAAAAGGGAUUGGAUUUGCAAAUUUUAGCAAGAUAGGACUACUCAUAAAAUCUUAACUGAUAAAGUAAUAAGAUGGCAGGGAGGAGAAAGGACUAACUACACAACAACUCUACUCACCAGAAUCUGGGAAAAUACUCUGGAGAAACAUUUCAAGCACAUGAAAACUCAUCAGAACUACAUGAGCAAUAGAAAAAAAACGAGUGAUUAGAGGAAAUGUAGAGAGGAAAGCUCAGUACUGGGAAUCACUUGCUCAGUACUUCCUUUUGUAACUGAAAUUCCUAUCUUUAUUUGCAAACAAGAAGCAUCUUUCAGGAAAGCUGUUUGUGAGAGAGGACACAGUCCUGUGUACCUGCGUGUGUCUGCAUGCAGGCAGGGCAAAGGGGGGAGAAAACUGAAGCCAGAGGAGGAACAAAAGAGCUGAUUGCAGAAGUAACAAAAAUGUGUAACUGACAAACCAGGAAGGUUGCUUUUAUCCUAUGUUUGUGAGAAUUCCAGUGAACAGUUCUCUCCGCUUCUCUUACACACAUAUGCUGUGAACACAAUCAGACAUAGCUGUAAGAAAAACUGCAAAUAGGAAAUAAGAUCCAAAGAAGAAGCCCUCCUCUGUUGGCACUGAUUAUCUAUCUAUCUAUCUAUCUAUCUAUCUAUCUAUCUAUCUAUCUACUUAUCUUCCUUUACCGUGACACCAAAAGCCAUCUUUGAAUUCUGUGUGCUCCUCAGUUGUGUCUUAAGGUUCACUUUGCACAACAGCUAUUUCCUUUGAGAAAUAUUGUGUGUUAAGGUAUUGCGAGUUAUGAACAGGAUUACUAGGCUAAAGGGACAUUGCCAAAAAACAUUACUUUACAUGCACAUUCACAUUAAAAACCUUAUUAAAUCUGCUAACGUAAGGAGGCAAAAACCUAGGAAAUGUCAGGACUAAUGCUAUCUGUGUUACCCUAAAUCUGUCCUUUCUCCACGUGCAUCGUGCCUGCAAUCUUUAAUAACAUCAUCACCCAAUUUAUUUUCUCCCCAGGGGCUCCUGUCUCAUUCAGUGUCCUCUGCUGGAUGCUCCUCCUCCAGCUGCCCCUUCCUCGGCCCUCUCUGAGCUCACUGCACAGCCAAACAUCUGCAUAUUUUCCACAGGAAUAACAAGUGGAAAUUAUCUCAUGCAGGGGUCGUGCCCUUUGCUGAAUUUAAAGCCAUAUUUAGUAAGAGAGCAUUAGAGCUUCUCCAUGUUUUAUAAUUCUUUUAAAUAAGUGGAAGGCAGUCUUUUCUUAGAAGCCACAGAUCUCAGCUGAAGCUAAAGCAAAUCCAUCGCAUGGGCUAUUUCACCCUUGAUUGCAACUUCAGAAGUCAAAAGCAAAAAACAAACAAACAAACAAACAAACAAAAAGCCAGUGUCAAAAAAAGGCAAAUGUUGAAAACGUUCAUCUUGAUGACACAAUUGGCUUUACUUAUCCUGCAGCUCACAUUUUCAUAUGGCCACCUGGGAUUUUUUCAGUGGCCUUGCUGGAGAGAAACGAGACACUGGAGGUCAGGUGCUGCCACUGGUCCUUAUAUAAGAUGCUCACUUAAGGUCGAGGGGAGCACUUCUGGCCUCCUACCUUUUAGAGAUUCAUAGAAUCACUAAGGUUGGAAAAGACCACUAAGAUCAUCUAGUCCAACCAUCAACUCAUCAGCAGCUCGUCCAUCACCACUCCUUCCCACCAGGGAAGCCCUGGGUGCUGCCCACGUUGGGCACCUGGAGAUCUGUCCAGGCUGAGAGGGCCCCAUGCAGAGCAGUGGGCAGAUUUCCCUCUGCUUUAAUCAUAGAAUAAUAGAAUCAUAGAAUCAUAGAAUCACAGAAUCACAGGAUGGCCUGGGUUGAAAAGGUCCACAGUGAUCACCUAGUUUCAACCCCCUUGCUAUGUGCAGGGUCGCCAACCACUAGACCAAUUCCCUUGAUUCCCUUCCUUUAUAGAGCCAGGGGGCAAACAAAACAUAAAGGCUGAACACAAGGCUCCAGGCUUACUUUCACCCACUUAAAAAUGAAAGUAAGGCAACUAAAUCAGCCGCACUAUUAAAAUGGUCUUAUCCAGUCACCUCAAUGAAGAAACCCCAUGCCAUUUGCCCCACUGUGCUGCCAGUGCUGCUUCAAUUUUACCCUUCCAUCCCUCCCCCUGUGUUUGGUUAUCUGUACAAAAGCCUAAUAACUUCCACGCUGAAUUUAGAAAAGCAGCAGCAUUUGCAUUCUGAUUGCUCAGCCAUUUAAUUGUUACGCUUCAGGGGAUGCCUCCAGCUCUGCCAUUCGCCCUCACCCAGGAGACUGGGGCCCUUGUCCCACUGCAUAUCGAAAUAUCUCCAAAUCCACUCUUGACUGGAGCCUGAUCUGCACCUCUGGCUUAAAACUGCUGUCCCAGGGCAAAUAUCUGCCCAGCUCUUCAGAUACCCACAUUGUUAAUCACAUUUAAUUGGAAUAGGCUUGUGGAAAGCUUUGUCUAAGAAGAAAGCUGUGGUUCCAGCCUGUCUCACAGAUGCAUACUUUCAUUAAAGGCUAUUGUUUUCUACUUCAGUGUUGUUUACUUGGCUUCACCUCUAACCGCACUACAGUAGAAAAUAAAUCCUUCCAUGUGCUAACAAGUAUGCUCAUAAUAGAACUUUUUAGAAGGCGCUCAGAGUUUCCUAUCUCUUAAUUUUCCCAGUGUUUCCGUUAUCUGUAAUAUGCUUAUGUCAAGCUCUCUUGGCAAGACACAGCCUUUCAUCUCAUCUAUUUUAUAAUGCCAAGCACUUUUUUUUUUCCCCUUUUGAAAUAAUUAAUGGGUUUAGAGAUAUUUUAGAUCAAGCCGCAAAUGUUUCUUUGCUGAUAAAGAUUUUAGGUCAAGAGGAUAUUAGUUCCUUCUUAUCCCAGAUGAAAUUUCACACAAGCAGAGCAGUGAGAAGUGAGGAUGCUAUAAAAUCUAUAUAUAUAAAAAAAUAUGCACUGGAAUUAACUCAGUGGGUUGGGUGCAGUAGCACUUCUUGGGUCACCUGAGCUGAAGGAUCUGGUGGACCUGGUUUUGGGAGCGUGGAAGUUUCAGACUGGCUCCCUUCUCUUAAUGAACGUAAUAUUGCUUUCAUUUUACACAAGCUAUUUCUUUGGCAAUAGCCUCUUGGGCAAAGACUCUUUUUUAAUAUAUAUAGAUAUAUAUAUACACAUGUAGUGCAAACACAGCAGGGGACCACUGCUGCUAUUGGGUGGCUUAGGCAGUUUCUUUGUAGAAAUAUGUUAGCACUUUUCUCUCCCAACAUGCCUGUGACCCUGGCUAUGGCAAUUUAAAACAUAAUAAUACAAAUAAAAAAUAAGAAUGUCAGAUUAUAUGUACUGUAUCUCCUACAAACACCUCUCCUGAUAUAUUCAAUCUGUAUUUCAGGUUGGUUAGUAGGAAAAGGUUAUUCUCAGGAAGAGUAGUAAUGCAUUGGCACAAGCUGCCCGGAGAGGUGGUGAACCCACUGUCCCUGGAGGUGUUGAAGAACUGUGUAGAUGUGGCAUUGAGGGAUGUGGUCAGUGGGCAUGGUGGGGAUGGGCUGGUGUUUGGAAUGAAUGAAAUUUAGAGGUCUUUUACAAGCUUAAUGAUUCUGUGAUUCUAUGAUUCUAUAUACACAGCGUGCAUGUUUUGGAGAUACAAUACAUAUAAUCUGAAAAUUCUUUCAUGACUUCUGUUUCUUGAGCAAGUCAAGAUUUGCAGGAGAAGGUGAUAGAUGUAGUUUAUAUGCCGAGUUAGGUAGUUGUAAAAAUAAGUUACGUACGGAUUUUUGCACACAAAACUUGCCUACCAUUUUCAACAGCCACAACUGAGCUACUGAAGGAUAUUAUUUUUCCUUGCAUAUGUUGCCAUGGUUGUGUCUGCAGACCAUUAUGGUUUUUACAACAGCAGCAUGAUUGCUUCCUCAUUUGGAGGAUGAGUAUGGUACUCAGAGAGACUGAAGGGCCUGCAGGUUUGAUGCAGAGCAGGAGGGACGUAGGGAGAAGCAGGUGUGAUGCCCCAAACUUACAUGACUGCUCCACAGGACUGCAGGGGUUUUAAAGCUGGCACUGUCCCUGUCAGAGCCUGGUGGCUGGUUCUGCUUUGGAGGUGGCUUCUCUAAUACUGCCAGCAAAUCUGUCUUUUCAGAUAAGCUGCAAUUUUCUUCGCAAUGUUUGGUUAAAAAAAAAAAAAAAAAAAGAGUUUUUUAAAAAUAAGCCAUUCCAGUGCUGCCAGGUUCUCCUGACUUACAACCCAUCCUCUUCCCCAUACACUGCUUGGGAGUUGCAUGCAAGGAUGAAGGCAGUUGCAUCACUAAAACUGGGUUUGGCAGAUCAGAGAGCCUCUGAAGCAGCACAGCAUCUGCAAGCACAGCAUCUGUACUUGUCAUCAACUGCAGAGGUAUGGCUCAGACCAUUAAGAGCCAUAGAAUCAUUAAGUUAAGAAAAGACUACUAAGGUCAUCAACUCCAGCUGUCAACCCAUCCCCACCAUGCCCACUAACCCAUGUCUCUCAGUGCCACAUCCACGUGGCUCUUGAACACCUCCAGGGACAGUGGUCUCACCACAUUCCUGGACAGCCUGUUCCAGUGCACAACCACCCUUCCUGAGAAGUUUUUCUUGACAUUCAGGAAGAUGGUUACUGCUGCGUGUACACAAAAACUACAGGGUUAUAUAGGCACUGCAUGAAACAAAAGAGCCCAAUGGGACUUUCUGAUCACCAUUCCAGAGUCUCUGGUGCAUUGGUUUGAGCCUUGGCACCUGAGAAGGCUGGGAUGGGAGUCCUAAAUGGUGCUCCUGCCCCAUAGCUGUGUUGUGAAUGCUGGGAAGGUGUAGGUGAAGGCAGUGUGAAAUGGUGAUCUGCUAUAAAUCACAACAACUAUAAACAGCGGCUUACUUAAUAAGAGGUGUUUAACAAAUAUUGUCUGUGAUCUGUGUUUCUUCCUGACUCAGUUGUCCUUGAGAAAGAAGAAAAUUAGCAACAAUGGCAUUGGGCAGAGUGAAAAUCAAAAGCUGUCUGCUGGGCCAGGCAUCUCCUCAAGAAUGUAGGCCAUCCAUUUUAAACUAAUUCAGAGAUGGCAUUUUAAAAGUUAUCCCAAAGAUUUUUAAUUCCUCCAGCUCGUUAUCUGUCUUAUGGGCGAUCCAAAUUUUCUUUCCCCUAGUUCUGUCUUGUAGCAUCAUCCAUCACAAAGACCUGUCAAGGCAACAGCCUGGAGGCACUUCACAGCAACCCUCAGGUACAGUAUAAUCUCCUACUCUUAAAUUCCCCAGAGUUUCUAUUCCUUAAAAGCUCUGAAAUUGGUCUGGGCAUCAAGAAAGAUAUUGCAAGCCUUACAUGGCUUAUUACAGUGCUGGUGUAGAACACAGCAGAUAGAAUCCCUCCUCCUUCCUCCUCCUGACUUCCAGGUGUCCUUCUUAAUUAAUGGCUUGUUUCUACUGUGAGAUUUAUGCAGUGCUGAAUAACUUUCCCCUCUGAUGAUGAUAUCGUAGAAUCAUUAAGGUUGGAAAAGACCACUAAGAUCAUUUAGUCCAACUGUCAGCUCACCUCCACCAUGCCCAUGAACCGUGCCCCUCAGUACCAUAUCUACACAUUUCUUGUACAUCUCCAGGACUCCACACCUCCCUGGGCAGCCUGUUCCAAUCAGCUUUCCUGAGAAAAGAACUCCAAUCAGCUUUGCCAGAACUCUUCAUUAAAAAUAGUGAUUAGGAAGCCUCAAUAUGAGAGUUCAUGACAGGAGGAACAUAUCAUCAGCCAAUUUUUCAGGUUCCCUACACUGCGUCUACCCAGUCAUCCUAACUACCUGAAGACUGACAGUAGUGUGCUGAGAGCUAAGAGCAGAAAUUCAGGUCACAUCUAAUCGUGGAGAGAUAGUAUUACUCCUGUACAACACACGGAACUAAGUUAUAUUCAGUGCUGGCAGUUCAUAGAAUCAUAGAAUGGCCUGGGUUGAAAAGGACCACAAUGAUCAUCGAGUUUCAACCCCCCUGCUAUGUGCAGGGUCGCCAACCAGCAGACCAGGCUGCCCAGAGCCACAUCCAGCCUGGCCUUGAAUGCCUCCAGGGAUGGGGCAUCCACAGCCUCCUUGGGCAGCCUGUUCCAGUGCGUCACCACCUUCUGGGUGAAAAACUUCCUCCUAAAGUUCUAAUAUCCAGACCUCCUUUCAAGCGAUAAAAAGCCUUUUGGAUUUGUUGGUUUCCAAUAAAAAAUACAACGAAUUUCUUAUUUUUAUUUUAUACUUUUUUUUUUUUAAAUUAUUAGAGCCUUACUAGAUUUCCCACUACAAGGCAAAUAUUCUGAUUGGUACAGUUUACACGAGGAGUGAAGCAAAAGAUGACUCAGUCAUCAUAUGUUAAUGACUCCAUGGAGGACAAGUAAAUUACUUUAUUAGGUGGACACUUUCCCAUGCAACUUACUCUAGUGAACGUGCUUUAGCAGGAGGUUGGGCUAAGCGACCUCCAGAGGUCCCUUCCAAACCCUGUGAUUCUGUGAUCUCCCUAGGUUAGGUCAAAGUAGAAAACAUGAGGUUGUAGCCAAGCAAAUCUAGACUAACUGC
rnacentral:lncRNA from 1 species